rnacentral:lncRNA from 1 species
UGAGCUACUGCACCCAGCCCCUCUCUUUUAUUUUUAAGGGCAGAAAAAGACGAAGUGAGAAAGGAGCCUCCCUUAUCCUCCUCCUCUUUCCCCUCGCAGUCCAGCAUCAAAACACUCAUUCUUAGGAUGGAGCAGGGGUGGAAAAGUGCAGGAACAUUAGGCCUUGUCUGUGUAUUGGCUCCGUUAGGAGCUAUUGUUGCUCAGCAGCUGUUCCUCUUGCUUCUUAGGAAGCCCUGCCUGCAAGUGGGCUGGGGAACCAGUGUGACACUGGCAGCUGGGGGAAGUGGGGAGGAACAUCGAAUAUUUUUUCACCAUGAGAAAGAUGGGCUUUGUUUCUCAAAAAAGAACAGAGAUCCUGUUUCUGGGUAGCUGUUAUCAGAAACUGGUUUUAAUAAAUACAGUUGGAGAGUGAAAGUAAGAGUGUGUGUGUGUGUGUGCGCGUGCGUGUGUGUUUUGGGGGCGGGGGAUAGAAGAGAAAGAGAACAUAAAGUCACAACCUACUCAACCUUUAAUCCUUUUUUUAAGGUAGGAAAAGCUGAAAAAUUUCAGCCAAAUGAAAAGCAUAAAGUGGUUGAGAAAGGCUUUAUGACUAAGAGAGGAUUGCAAUGGAAAAUACGUAAAAAGAGAAGUUAAACCAGCUGGCUUAUUUAAUUUUGACUCCCCACUCCCCCUUUCACUUUUUUUUUUACCUUCAGCCUAAACUAGGGAAAAAUGUACUGUGUAAAUAUUCAGUGUUUUUCUUAGUUUUUAUCCCUAACAAAAUUUUUUACAGGACUUAGUUUAGUGAAUCUCCAGAGACUGGGUGUGAACGUGACUUUUCACCCCUGGGUCACGGGUCACUUCCUGCUUCUUCUUUUCAUGAUGCUUUGACAUCUUGGGGCAUCUUGCAGACCAGGGAUGGACUGCCCCUCCCAGGUUUGGCUAAUUCCUGGAGAUACUAAACAACUCGGCUUAGAACACAUCUUUUAUAUGCAAGACAACAAAUCCAGGCUCCAUACCCUCAUCUCAUCCUUUUAUCAGGCUCCUCCAGCACAGAACAUUAUCCUCCUGCUCUAAGUCACCCAGAGCCAGGAGAAUUUUACCCUCUUGUCAGUCUUGGCCAUGUGAUUUCAUCUGGCAAAUGACAUGGGAGUGGAAGUGACAUGCCCAGAAGAUUUGAGAGCUGUGGUGAGAUCCCAUCAUUUCCCUUCUGACACAAGGCACACCACAUCCCCAGAUGGAGGUAUUCUGUCAAUCUGGAUCCCAAAGUGAAAAGGAUGAAGGACAAAGUCACAACUGAUGGAGAGCCAUCAUGGAAGAUGAGGAAAAUAUUAGCUUUACUCUUACAAAGCACUGAGAUUUGAGGGUCACUUGUUCUUGCAGCAUAGCCCAGCAAAGAAUGACCGAUACACUUUUCUUCACAAAACCUCUGUCUAAUUGAACUCAAACUCUGAACCAUACGCUGAAUGAAAGAAUGGUCCGUUCCUAUUUCGAUAGGUCAACCCUCAUUUUUAUAAGUGCACAGCUUCAGGAAGGCACACAUGCAGUCAUGAAGGGAGAAAGUGGAGUUCUCAACUAUUGAAGCCAGUGAGCUAACUUCUGCAUUCACCGACAUGAAACAUGCUGAAGUCUGUUUGCCUUGCAGUUCUCUGCUGGAUGUGCCAAGAGGGCUCUAUUUUAGAGAAGGAAAACUAACAAUAGAUUCCCGCCAACUAAAAGGGGAUUUCUUUUCCUGGGAAGGAAAAAAUAAAUGGAAAAAAAGAUCUUUAUCUGGUGAUUUGUACUGAAAUGAGAAUAGUCAGAGCUCAUCAUCAUAUCAUUUUUAAUAGUAACGUCUCAUAGAGAAACAUAAAAGAAACUUAUUAAAGACAAAAAUAGUUUAUACAAACUUUUUGCUAAGCAUAUAAAGUUGAAUGCAUAACAUUCCUUCCUCCUCCAGUCUACCUUCUCCAUUCUUGUUUCAUUUCCUUUUUUUGUCUUUUUUCCUUAUCCUUACCCAAAAUAUACUCUAGGCCAUUUUGGAAGAUGCAAGG